rnacentral:rRNA from 1 species
CCCGCAACGAGCGCAACCCUUGACCUUAGUUGCCAGCAUUCAGUUGGGCACUCUAAGGUGACUGCCGGUGACAAACCGGAGGAAGGUGGGGAUGACGUCAAAUCAUCAUGCCCCUUAUGACCUGGGCUACACACGUGCUACAAUGGAUGGUACAAAGGGCUGCGAGACCGCGAGGUUAAGCCAAUCCCAUAAAACCAUUCUCAGUUCGGAUUGCAGGCUGCAACUCGCCUGCAUGAAGCUGGAAUCGCUAGUAAUCGCGGAUCAGC